rnacentral:misc_RNA from 1 species
AUUUGGUGAGGAGACUGAAGAGGAGAAGAAAGCUGCUGAAGACCGCGCAGCUGCUGUGAAGUCUUCUACCAAGAAGAAAGAGAGUGGCAAGUCAUCUGUGUUGCUGGAUGUAAAGCCUUGGGAUGAUGAAACAGACAUGACAAAACUUGAAGAAGCAGUUAGAAGCGUUCAUCUUGAGGGUUUGCUUUGGGGAGCCUCUAAGCUUGUUCCAGUUGGCUAUGGAAUCAAGAAAUUGCAAAUUAUGAUGACUAUUGUGGAUGACCUU